CCUGGAACUCACUAUGUAGCCCAGGCUGGUCUUGAACUCAUAGUGAUCCUCCUGACUCAGCUUCCCUAGUGCUGGGAU
rnacentral:miRNA from 1 species